CGAGCUCAUGAGGAAUUGAUUGAUUUUCUUUGGUGGAAAGGCUCAACUCAUGUCAUAGCUCAAACUCUUUUAACAAGAAUGAAUUGAAACGGCCUAGAAACGACGAAUUGAGCCAAAAACAAAAGGGAAAGAACGAAGAACACAACAACACAAACACAGGCACAAGUGUGAUUCUUCAGUCGUAUCUCGAAGGACAUAAGGAGAAUUUGGAACCUUCUUUGCCAACCAAAAGCUUGAGUUUUUACACAAACAAGAUCCCGGAGGACUAAUCUAAUUUAUUUCAUACCAGCGUUGACCUUCUGAGCAGCAAAAUGCCCAAUAGAAGCCACGACGACGGCUUUCGUCGACCUGGAGAAGAUGAGUCGUGGGAAGUGUUAUUGGGCUGUCUAAUGGUAUAAAAACAGAUAGAAUGAAGCCCAACUUGCCUUGCAAGCAGCUCAGCAUUAAUAUGGUAUUGAGCUGCAUCCUCAUUUUUGUUAUUCAGCGCAUACUGAAAAUUGCGGUGCAAAUGUGGAGGGGGCGGUCAAAGUUGCGAUUGACUUCUUUAGUGGUGAAUGCACAGUGGUUCCUCGAUGCGAG
rnacentral:lncRNA from 1 species